rnacentral:rRNA from 1 species
UGCCUCCCCACGACUCGGAAGAAUAAGUCUGAUGUGAAAGCCCUCGGCUUAACCGAGGAAUUGCAUCGGAAACUGUUUUUUCUUUGAGUGCAGAAGAGGAGAGUGGAACUCCAUGUGUAGCGGUGGAAUGCGUAGAUAUAUAGGAAGAACACCAGUGGCGAAGGCGGCUCUCUGGUCUGCAACUGACACUGAGGUGCGAAAGCGGUGGGGAGACAAACGAGGAUUAGAUACCCUGGUAGUCCACGACCGUAAACGAUGGAUACUAGGUGUUGUCUGUAUCGACCCGGACAGUCGCCGUAGACUAACGUCGUUAAGUACUCCCGCCGUGGGGAGUACGCACGACAAGUGUAGAACUACGAAAGGAAUUGACGGGGCCCGCACAAGCGGUGGAGUAUGUGGUUUAAUUCGAUGUCGACGCGGCCG